AAAGUGAAUUCAUUCUGACAAUUACGGGAUAUGACUGCGUUGACGUUAAUAUCCGUAGUUCUCUAUUCCACAGCAAUGAUUCUUAUCAUCGAGUUGGAUGCAUUAUUCAUUCCAAAACGGAUGGAUCCUGUGCUUAGUGCCAGGGAAAGAAUAAUUUUAGAUCCAAAGAAGCGACCGUUUUGCAACGCAUUU
rnacentral:lncRNA from 1 species